rnacentral:rRNA from 1 species
AUUGAACGCUGGCGGCAGGCCUAACACAUGCAAGUCGAGCGAGCGGUGGCCGGGUGAGUAAUGUAUGGGGACUGCCCGAUAGAGGGGGAUAACUACUGGAAACGGUAGCUAAUACCGCAUCCUAUCGGAUAACCCAUAUGGGAUUAGCUAGUAGGUGAGGUAAUGGCUCACCGAGGCGACGAUCCCUAGCUGGUCUGAGAGGAUGAUCAGCCACACUGGAACAGUGACACGGCCCAGACUCCUACGGAGACAGGAGUGAGGAAUAUUGCACAAUGGGCGCGAGCCUGAUGCAGCAAUGCCGCGUGGAUGAAGAAGGCCCUAGGGUUGUAAAGUACUUGCAGUCGGGAGGCUUUACCGACAGAAGAAGCACCGGCUAACUCCGUGCCAGCAGCCGCGGUAAUUC